rnacentral:rRNA from 1 species
AACGAACGCUGGCGGCAUGCCUAACACAUGCAAGUCGAACGAGACCUUCGGGUCUAGUGGCGCACGGGUGCGUAACGCGUGGGAACCUGCCCUUAGGUUCGGAAUAACUCCCCGAAAGGGGUGCUAAUACCGGAUAAUGUCUUCGGACCAAAGAUUUAUCGCCUUUGGAUGGGCCCGCGUUGGAUUAGCUAGUUGGUAGGGUAAAAGCCUACCAAGGCGACGAUCCAUAGCUGGUCUGAGAGGAUGAUCAGCCUCACUGGGACUGAGACACGGCCCAGACUCCUACGGGAGGCAGCAGUGGGGAAUAUUGGACAAGGGGCGAAAGCCUGAUCCAGCAAUGCCGCGUGAGUGAUGAAGGCCUUAGGGUUGUAAAGCUCUUUUACCCGGGAUGAUAAUGACAGUACCGGGAGAAUAAGCUCCGGCUAACUCCGUG